GGAGAAACAAGCUUAAGUGGAGAGGAAAAUGAAGAGUUUGUUUUGCCCAUCCAGUGGAGAUAACAAAAUAUGCACCACAUCACAUCCUCUUCCUCACAAGAAUAUCAGUCCCCUUGAAGGUAAUUACAGAGUCUCCUGGUUAUAGACCCCACCACCUAAUGUAAUUGCUGCCAACUCUACCACCUACCAUCCCUUUCAUUGGAAAUGGUCGUGUAAUACCUUGCGGCUCUGUCAUCUGCUGAUACAAGGCAAUGCCGGUUUUGCAGAAUGAGCAAAGGAUCUACUCAGCAAAGAAGGGAUUGAGUCAGG
rnacentral:lncRNA from 1 species